rnacentral:misc_RNA from 1 species
UACGGAGGGUGCAAGCGUUGCUCGGAAUCACUGGGCGUAAAGCGCACGCAGGCGGGUUGUUAAGUCGGUUGUGAAAGCCCGGGGCUCAACCCCGGAAUUGCAUCCGAAACUGGCGACCUUGAGUACGGGAGAGGAGAGCGGAAUUCCUGGUGUAGAGGUGAAAUUCGUAGAUAUCAGGAGGAACACCCGUGGCGAAAGCGGCUCUCUGGCCCGAUACUGACGCUCAUGUGCGAAAGCGUGGGGAGCAAACAGG